GACGAACGCUGGCGGCGUGCCUAAUACAUGCAAGUCGAACGCACUCUCGUUUAGAUUGAAGGAGUUUGCUCCUGAUUGAUAAACAUUUGAGUGAGUGGCGGACGGGUGAGUAACACGUGGGUAACCUGCCCUAAAGUGGGGGAUAACAUUUGGAAACAGAUGCUAAUACCGCAUAAAACCUAACACCGCAUGGUGUAGGGUUGAAAGAUGGUUUCGGCUAUCACUUUAGGAUGGACCCGCGGUGCAUUAGUUAGUUGGUGAGGUAAAGGCUCACCAAGACCGUGAUGCAUAGCCGACCUGAGAGGGUAAUCGGCCACACUGGGACUGAGACACGGCCCAGACUCCUACGGGAGGCAGCAGUAGGGAAUCUUCCACAAUGGACGAAAGUCUGAUGGAGCAACGCCGCGUGAGUGAAGAAGGUUUUCGGAUCGUAAAACUCUGUUGUUGGAGAAGAUAGUAUCUGAUAGUAACUGAUCAGGUA
rnacentral:rRNA from 1 species